AUGUAUUUCCUAAUAUUUUGAGACUAUUGCUUAUUGAGCUUGCCUAAAGUACCUCCACAGACGACUUUGUGCCUUUGGAGGGAUCAGUAACACUGGUUAAAGCAGGAAAAGAAACUUCUUGGUUUGUCUUCCAUCUGUGCUUCUGGGGUUUCCCCUGAGUCAUCUCUAACAGCCAUUAAAGAACUUGUGCCAGGAGACUCUGGUGGCAGUACAGCAUUCUCUGAAGUGAAUAUCCGAGCAGGGAUGACAGGUUCUUGUGGUGAAACGGUGGAAAGAUAGUGCAGGAGCAUCUGUAUAAUCUGGCCGAAAUUGGGUCGAGCAUUUGGAUCCUCUUGCCAACAUGAGAUCACAAUCAUUGCUAAAUCCUCUGGGAGGUUCUCCGCACUAGGUCUUGCAUUCUUAAAAGCUGCUGCAUAUGCUGCCUGUAAAUUUGACAUGCCUUCAAAUGGCAAUUUAUUGUGAAUGAGUUCCCACAAGACAAUGGCAAAGCUAUAAGCGUCUACUUUGUGAUUGUAAUGCUUUUUCUCUCCAUGCCUUAAUGUGACAGUGCUGUAAAGCUCUGGAGCCAUCCAACGAUAUGUCCCAGUUUCAGCAGUCAUCAUCUCUGUUAAUGACUCUUCUCUAGCUAAACCAAAAUCUGCAAGUUUAACUGUUUUAUGGUCGGCAGUCAAUAUCAAGUUCUCAGGUUUAAGGUCACGAUGAAUGAUUCCGUGUGCGUGUAUGCAUUCCAUUGCACGAGCAAUGUCAAGUGCAAACCCAAUUGCUACAUGCAUCUCCAAGCAUCUUGGUCGCAAGUUCAACAGGUAUUUACGCAAUGUCCCACCUAAAAGAAGCUCGGUUACUAUCACCAUUACAGGUUCCUUGCAAGCCCCAAUAAA
rnacentral:misc_RNA from 1 species